AGCGAACGCUGGCGGCGUGCUUAACACAUGCAAGUCGAGUGCGCGGUUCGUAGCAAUACGAACUGGCGCACGGCGCACGGGUGAGGAACACGUGGGCAACAUGCCCUCCGAUGGGGAAUAACCCGCCGAAAGGCGGGCUAAUACCGCAUACGAUUCCGGGGACCUCGGUUCCUGGACUGAAAGCCCGCAAGGGCGUCGGUGGAGUGGCCCGCGGCCGAUUAGCUUGUUGGCGGGGAACGGCCACCAAGGCAAUGAUCGGUAGCCGGUCUGAGAGGAUGAUCGGCCACACUGGAACUGAGACACGGUCCAGACUCCUACGGGA
rnacentral:rRNA from 1 species